GGUGGGGAUUGUUUGAGCCUGAUGGCCAAUCCAACCCACCUGUGGCUGGACUCUCAUGAGAGGGUCACGAGUUGUGUUAGAGAUACAGUUAGAACAAGUAGAUUUGUAGUUUAGUAUCUUCCUUUAAAUAGUAUAUAAUGUAUUUUAGCAUAAUUAUAAUAAAUCAUUCAGCCUUCUGAAUUGAGUCAGACAUCUUCAUCUCUUCCCAUCAGGUUUGCCUGUGUUCACAACAGUAGAUGGCCAUCUCAUGGCUGGCUUUGGUUUUUAUUAUGGCAGUUUCUGUGUGUGUUUAGCCGAAGAUAAAUUUACUGGAAGUUUGCCAUGUCAAUUAUGCAGAUCCAGAACAGCAGCUCCUGCCUUUGGAGGGUGCUUACUGGGCUUUGUGUGUUUUUUGGUACACAGAAUGAAUUUAAUGGAACACUGAAUUAACUACCACCCAGGGUCCAAAAUAUAUUGUGAAGACAUGAAAACAUCAUAAAAGACAAAAAGCUGUGCAGGUACCACCCUGGAUUAGUGUGCUGUGUGCCCAGAACAGCUUACUCAUGCUUCAGGAUAACUGCAAGGACAGGCUGUGAGCAUGUGCACAAUCACUCACUGUAUGUUAGCUGAUGUUCUGUAAGUUCACACCACAGCUCAGCUCAUAGUAACUUAUUUGUGUUCAGGUACCUUAAAACCAUCGUCCAAGCCAGUGAAAACAUUGCAGUUCUUCAGAGACAAAAUGCCAGCUGUGUAACUUGCUGGCGUGCAGCAAAUCUCACACACCAUCUUGCAGUUGGGCAAGCCUAAGUGCUCCUGUCACUGCAGGUGUCCUCCCCUGGUAUCUGCAACAACAGCUACAGGCAAGAGCUACAUCCAAGAGAUGCCUGGGGGAAAUCAUACAACUUGUUCAGAAAAUAAAGUGAGAUUUAAUUCUAAAUAGCUGAAAUAGGUUCAUUUAUCUCAGAUUUAAUGGGGUUUUUUUCCUUUUAAUUUCUGGGAAGAGUGGAGAUUUUUGCAUGUUGUACAUGCUUUUUGUGUUUUUUUUAUUUUGUUAAUGUGAAAUUUGUUUUGUGAUACAAACAUGACUGUUGUUUCUCUUUAGAAUGUGUACAAGUAAAAAAAAAUUUGAGUAUGUCACUUGCAGCAUUUGGAAGGCAAAACUUAAAACACUGAAGUUUAUAGUCUGUUGGCAUGAUCGGUAUUGUCACUUUCAGACAGCUGUGACAUCAUUGUUUCACUUUACCAGUUCCCUUUUGGAAAGCCUAGGCAUUUCAACCUGUCUUAUUUCUGUAUCUUCUAAACUGUUUAAUAUAUCUAGCUUUUAACCAACAUCAAAGUGAUUCUGUACAUCUGAAAGGCUAAAUCCAGGAGAAUUAUUUUAUUGGAGCAAUGAAAUGUAAGUGUUGUAACUAAAAUUAUUUAGUGUCUGCAUCUUAGUAGUGGAGAGCAGUCAUAGGUAUCACUGAAAGCCAGUCUGUUGAGAAGCAAGAGAAGGAAGAAGAGCUUAGAUAGUCUGGUUUUGCUCAGUUAUUCAUAAUGAGGUAUUUAACACUUACCACAUUGUCUAGGUCACAGUUAAAUCACCAGGAGUUUGUUGAGACAAGGCUGUAACAGCGGAGCAUCCUAUUCUGCAUUCAGGUUUACAGGACUGCAUUUUACCUAUGUUUUCUGAAGGCUAAAGCAAACACCUGAUUUUACUUUCUUUGAACUUUAUCUAUAAAGCCUUCUAAAAAAAUCAUGUAUCAUAACACCAUGUAAAAUACCUUAAACAGAUGAAUGUUCAAUAAAAUCACCUGGAUUUUU